rnacentral:rRNA from 1 species
UACGGAGGAGGCAAGCGUUAUCCGGAGUGAUUGGGCGUAAAGCGUCCGCAGGUGGCGAUGUAAGUCUGCUGUCAAAGCGUCUGGCUCAACCAGAUAAAGGCAGUGGAAACUACAUAGCUAGAGUAAGGUAGGGGUAGAGGGAAUUCCUGGUGUAGCGGUGAAAUGCGUAGAGAUCAGGAAGAACACCGGUGGCGAAAGCGCUCUGCUGGACCUUAACUGACACUGAGGGACGAAAGCUAGGGGAGCGAAUGGG